ACACGACUACAUUAGAUACCCGUGUAGUCCUAGCCGUAAACGAUACUCGCUGGGUGUCGGCCACGGUGCGACCGUUGUCGGUGCCGUAGGGAAGCCGUGAAGCGAGCCACCUGGGAAGUACGGCCGCAAGGCUGAAACUUAAAGGAAUUGGCGGGGGAGCACAACAACGGGUGGAGCUUGCGGUUUAAUUGGAUUCAACGCCGGAAAUCUUACCGGGACCGACAGCAACAUGAAGGCCAAGCUGAAGACUUUGCCGGAUUAGCUG
rnacentral:rRNA from 1 species